GACGAACGCUGGCGGCGUGCUUAACACAUGCAAGUCGAACGGAAAGGCCCUGCUUUUGUGGGGUGCUCGAGUGGCGAACGGGUGAGUAACACGUGAGUAACCUGCCCUUGACUUUGGGAUAACUUCAGGAAACUGGGGCUAAUACCGGAUAGGAGCUCCUGCUGCAUGGUGGGGGUUGGAAAGUUUCGGCGGUUGGGGAUGGACUCGCGGCUUAUCAGCUUGUUGGUGGGGUAGUGGCUUACCAAGGCUUUGACGGGUAGCCGGCCUGAGAGGGUGAUCGGCCACAGUGGGACUGAGAUACGGCCCAGACUCCUACGGGAGGCAGCAGUGGGGAAUAUUGCACAAUGGGCGGAAGCCUGAUGCAGCAACGCCGCGUGCGGGAUGACGGCCUUCGGGUUGUAAACCGCUUUCGCCUGUGACGAAGCGUGAGUGACGGUAAUGGGUAAAGAAGCACCGGCUAACUACGUG
rnacentral:rRNA from 1 species